UGGUUGAGGGGUUCAAAACUCACCUUAAGGAUCGAAUAUUAAAUCUUAGGCAGUACAACUCUUUUUUUUUCUUCCAAACCCCCUAUUAAUGUAAAUCCUGAAUCCAUCACUGAUCCAUGUGAAUCCACUUGGAUAGAAUGUAUCUAGAACUAAUUACACCUAACUUUGACCAUGUAUCCUACAUACAUCAAAAUCUGGUAAAAUAGGUAGUAUUGCAAACUAGAUUAGUGAGAUUUAUGUAAGUUCCCGAUAAUAAUAAUAAUAGUUGGGACUUACUUGAACCCUGAGGUAAUUGUUUUGUGAAUCAAGAGCUUGAAAAACAGUAGAAAGGUAAUAAUCAUUCAUGUAAGAACUUGCUGCACUUCUCAUUUCCCAUAAAGGUAUUGUCUCUUCUGCUGUAUAGUUUAGCAAACUCUGAAUUAGUGCCAGUGCCUAAUG
rnacentral:lncRNA from 1 species